UACGUAGGGUGCGAGCGUUAAUCGGAAUUACUGGGCGUAAAGUGUGCGCAGGCGGCAGAGCAAGUCGAGUGUGAAAGCCCCGGGCUUAACUUGGGAAUUGCGCUCGAAACUACUUUGCUGGAGUGUGGCAGAGGAAGGUGGAAUUCCACGUGUAGCGGUGAAAUGCGUAAAGAUGUGGAGGAACACCAAUGGCGAAGGCAGCCUUCUGGGCCAACACUGACGCUCAUGCACGAAAGCGUGGGGAGCAAACAGG
rnacentral:rRNA from 1 species